rnacentral:rRNA from 1 species
AUUGAACGCUGGCGGCAUGCUUUACACAUGCAAGUCGAACGGUAACAGGCCGCAAGGUGCUGACGAGUGGCGAACGGGUGAGUAAUGCAUCGGAACGUGCCCAGUCGUGGGGGAUAACUACUCGAAAGAGUAGCUAAUACCGCAUACGAUCUAUGGAUGGAAGCGGGGGACCGUAAGGCCUCGCGCGAUUGGAGCGGCCGAUGUCAGAUUAGGUAGUUGGUGGGGUAAAGGCUCACCAAGCCAACGAUCUGUAGCUGGUCUGAGAGGACGACCAGCCACACUGGGACUGAGACACGGCCCAGACUCCUACGGGAGGCAGCAGUGGGGAAUUUUGGACAAUGGGCGCAAGCCUGAUCCAGCAAUGCCGCGUGCAGGAAGAAGGCCUUCGGGUUGUAAACUGCUUUUGUACGGAACGAAACGGCUCUGGUUAAUACCCGGGGCUAAUGACGGUACCGGAAGAAUAAGCACCGGCUAACUACGUG